GAAAAUUCCUCUUAUUUGUUUCCAGAUAUUGCUUUUUAUGCGCUUAGCGGGGACCCCACCAAGUGCUGCAUUUAUCCCAAUUCCUGUUCUGUUUAUUCCUCUUUUCCUACUUCAAGGAGCUGGUCUUUUAUUCUCUGUUUAUAGACUUGUGGAGACGGUUAUUCUUCUGGUAGAUGGUGAACGUGGUGUUAGAAGCUAUUUUAGGAUGUCUUCUGUUAUUCGUGAUUCUUUCAGUUGCAUGCGUCAUGGGUCAAGGUUGUUAGGUUGGUGGUCAAUUGAUGAAGAUAGCCGAGAGGAACAAGCUCGUCUAUAUUAUGCAGAGACAGAGACAUCUGGGUACAAUACUUUCUCACCAGAUACUGUAAAGCAAAUGCCUAAGGCGAAGCUUACUGAAGAGAUAUGGAGAUUACAAGCAGCACUUU
rnacentral:misc_RNA from 1 species